GCAGUCUUUGCAGUGCCCCUGUGUGCCGUGCAGUGAGUCGUAGGGGAUUGUCUGCAGCAGGACGUCCCCCAGUGGAUGGGCGCCGAGGGGUGUGGUGCUCCUCCAGCAGCUCUCUCAGGUUUUCUCUGUACUUUUGGUAGGUAAUUACUUUACCUAUGAGGGAGUGGAGAGGAUGAGGGGGCAGUGGGUAGGUUGGUGAGAUAUUGUCACUAUAAUUGCAUAAUGGAACUGUAUAUGAUUUGUGUGUGAACUGUACGUCCAAUUACAAAAAAAGACCUUAUUCAGUAAUCAUCUCACCUGUUAGUUGGCGGUGAACUAUAUGGCCAUUGAGGGCAGCAGUGUCGAUUAGAAGGAAAAAUAUCUUCUUAUAACACUUGUUGGUUUCUGAGUGCAUUCCACAAAGCUGUUUAUCAUGUCCGGCUUAUCCACUGCCCCCAUUUUGGCUUUAUUGUCAAGCACAUAGUCUAGUUGAUUUUUCUCUCUCCCGUCAGGUGGUCCACCUUCCCUGUUGCCGACAUGGUUGCUGUAUGGACAGUGGAGAGGACAUGGAUGUUUCAUUUGUCAUGCCACUUUACUGCCAGCUGUUGACCAUUCUCCUUGAACUCCACUUCCCUCUCUGCAUAUGAAUGCUGGCAUCCCGUUCCCGUACGACCUGACUGUGCCACAACCCCCUGUGCUGUUGGAGAGCAGAUACUGGAAGAGUGGGUGAUUGCUGUACCAAUUUGUGCACGUGCAAAUUGUGUCCCUUGCCGAGAUGAGGAGCCAGCAUGGUCAUCACCAUGGACCCGGACACCCAAAGCCCCUCAUAAUGUUGGAUGUCAGUGAUGGACUCUGUGUAGACUAUAAUGUCCUGGAAGAAUCCUGUCUUCACAUCGCACAUAACAAAGAACUUGACCUCAAACCUGUACCUUUUGGAGGGAAAAAUAUUAACGGACCGCCAGCCAACUUCCAUAACAUCAGGGACUCAUCAGUGCAUAGGUCCUUGUAUGGCACAAGGACCCGACCAAAUGCUGAUGUCAGGCUGGUCAUCAUUCUGCUCCUGAGUGAUUCGCUUGUGGGCGUGCUGGCAGGAUAUGGCAGCAUCUUCGGUUGUGCAUCAAGAAUUCUGCAUACAGUAGCACGUUUGUAUGAAGGUCUGGUUAUUCACAGGCAAAUUGUUAUAUGCUAUGGAGGUACAUUUGUGUCUUUUUGUCGAGAGCAAAACCUUUUUAUUUUCAAUAAAAAAUAAUUGUUCUGAAAGCAAUUUUUUUUCAACACAAAGGAAGUCAAAGCGGACACCUACGAAGAUGACAUCUCAGGUAAGCAGCACUGGGCUGUAUUGAAGAUGGCAUCUCAGGUAAGCAGCAAUGGGCUGUAUUGAAGAUGGCAUCUCAGGUAAGCAGCACUGGGCUGUAUUGAAGAUGGCAUCUCAGGUAAGCAGCACUGGGCUGUAUUGACGUAUCCUAAAAAUGACAUCUGCUGCUUUAGAUUGAACGGUCAUAUCUCAAUUAUUGUUUUGAAAUCUAUAACAAUUAAGCUGUUUUCUUUACUUUCAGAGAGCGAGCUGAUCAAGGGGUUGAAAAUGUAGACAUUGCCAGAUGUUCACUGUCCGAGGAACAGGCCGUGGAAGCUUUAUUUCUGGCAAAAGUGUCUAUAACCAGAGGUAAUUAAACUGUUCUGUGUUAUUUUUCUCCAUCUCUGCCUGUCUUGUUGUACAUGGAACUUGUCUCACAUGCAUUAAUUUAAAAAAACUUAAGAUGUCAGCUGCUAAUUUUUAGAUUUACACCACAUAAAAAUACAGCCAUUUUCACUGGACUAUCUGUUGCUGCCAAGUCAUGAUUUCCCUGGGGAUUAGCCUUGCAAUAACCAAGUGGUGAGACACAUAGCCCUCUAUGUUUAAAUGUUUCAGGUACACUCCGAUAGGUGUCUGCGUCACAUACAGUAUCUUCUAUUGACAUUAUCUUCUGUUUGUCCUAAUGUGUCUGUUUUUCAACAUAAAGUACUCGGUUGCCACUUUGUGUGGACACCAGGUGAGACCACACAAACCCAAUAACAGUCUCUCUUCUUAACUUAAUUUCUCUCCCCCUUCUCCCUAAAUCCUCUAGGUUAUAUCAGCCGUUUUGGUGAACCACUCCCGCAUCUGAGCUGGCUGACACAGAGGGUCAACGGGAAGUAUUAUUAAAGAGAUGCUUUACAUUGAAAUACAUACAGAGAUGUAGUAGUCCCAGAGUUAAUGAUCCAAGGUCAGUUUUGCAUUUCACCCCCUGAUUAUGUUGACUGACCGUGUUAUAAUAAAAAAACAAGGCUCUCUAUCCAUCUGUCAUUCGUCUGCAGGCAUGCUUUGAUGUGAGAGAGGAAGCCAGUGCCGUCAUCGCCACCUCACCUGCUCCCUUAAGAUAACCUUCGGGCCAACUGGGGGCCCAAGGCUGGAUAGGUGACACCGCAAUUGUGAUGAACUGAAAUAAUAUUAGGGUAGCACUGUAAUUCAUGAAUCAUAUGCUGUCUGCCGCUGUUCUUAUCUCUUUCCAUUUCUGUCUUCCACACCUCUCUACCCACCUCGUGUUUCUUCCUCAUUUUAUAAUGCACACCAUAUGUGCAUUGAAGUAGAGAUUGAACUUGUAUUUAUAAUGUAAUAUUACAAUUAUCAUAAUUAUAAUGCAUUUAUGUAUUUAGAACACCUGGAUAAUGAACUUCUUUCAAUAAAGCGUUUCACAUUCUCCACUGGUUGAAAUUAAGUUUCUCAUUCAAAUACUAUCCUGUGUCCUCAGAUUAAUGCAGAUGAAGGGAGCAUCAUUCAAAUAAUGGAGUUUGAUAUGACUGAAAAAUAAUGUCUCAGAGAUUCAUACCUGAACCGCACCUUUAUUUGCCAAGGAAGAGUACAUGAUCAGUGAAUAUAUUCAAUGUACAGGCUACAAUGUGGGAAUCUCAUGUGUGGUAAUAACUACAGUACAUGUAUAUUGGACUUGCAUCCUUGGACAAUAAAGUCAUUAUAUUCUACUCUAUCCAUAGGCUUCAUUAAUGGCAUUCAGACUUUAACCUCUUUGGAAUAGGGGGCAGCAUUUUCACUUUUGGAUAAAUAGCGCGCACAAUUUCAACUUCCUGCUACUCAUUCCAAUAAUAGUAUUAGUAUAUUUGGAUAGAAAACACUAUGAAGUUUCUAAAACUGUUUGAAUCAUGUCUGUGAGUAUAACAGAACUUAUGUAGCAGGCAAAACCCCGAGGACUAACCAUUCAGAUCUUUUUUUUGAGAUCACUGUCAAUUCAAUGAGUUUUCAUUUGGGAACUAGAUUUCUAAGGCACUUGUUUGCAGUUCCUACCGUUUCCACUGGAUGUCACCAGUCUUUGGAAAUAGGUUGAGGUUAUUACUUUGUGAAAUGAAGAAGUACGGCCAUCUUGGAUCAGGGUAACGUUAUGUGUACUGUUUGAGAGUUGCGCAAGACUAAAACAGUAGCGUUAGAUUGUGAUCCUCCUGUAUUGAAAACAGAUAGACCCGUCUUCAAUUUGAUCGAUUAUUAACGUUUAAAAAUACCUAAAGUUGUAUUACAAAAGUAGUUUGAAAUGUUUUGGCAAAGUUUACAGGUAACUUUUGAGAUAUUUUGAAAUCAAAUUGGAAGCAGUUUUUUUCUGGAUCAAACGCGUCAAAUAAUUUUGGAUAUAUAUCGACGGAAUUAAUCGAACAAACGGACCAUUUGUGAUGUUUAUGGGACAUAUUGGAGUGCCAAGGAAGUAUUUAUAUUUUAUUUCUGCAUUUUGUGUGGUGCCUGCAGGGUUGAAAUAUGCUAUUGUCUCUUUGUUUACUGUUGUGCUAUCAUCAAUUAAUAGCUUCUUAUGCUUUCGCCGAAAUCUGACAUGUUGGCUGGAUUCACAACGACUGUAGCUUUAAUUUGGUAUCUUACGUGUGUGAUUUAAUGAAAGUUAGAAUUUUAUUUGAAUUUGCGCUCUGCAUUUACCCUGGCAAUUGGCCUUGUGGGACAUUUGCGUCCCGUCUAUCCCAGAGAGGUUUUAAGUUGAUACAACAACUGUUUUACAAGACGACAGUCCCUAAAACAUUAAACAACUCAAAUUACAAAUUCAUUCUCCUAACACUAGUUAGCUGGCUAAUAUUAGCUAGUCAGCUAACUUGCUAAAUAGAGAUUUUCGUAAAUUAACUUCAUGACCAAAAAAUAUGUCCAGACAUUUGUCUCAACGUUAACAUAUUCCUCUCAAAUGUACCUUUUUUUUGCUUGACUCGUUAUGACGUUAUAACUACUUACAUUUGGUUCCACCGUAAUGUUUUGUCAGCCAUCUUUGUUGAAGAACGCCACCAGAAUACGGGUGGCUCGCGUCAAAAUUCGUCAUUGGAACCACUCGAUAUGAUUCUUCAUAUAAAAACCUUGGGACCCAAAUGCAUAAUGAGUGCUCUAACUCAAGAGCAACACCAUACUACUCUUCAAGCUCAUCACUAAGCUUGGUGCCCUGGGUCUGAAACCCGCCCUGUAAAACUGGGCCCUGGACUUCCUGACGGGCUGCACCCAGGUGCUGAAGGUAGGAAACAACACCUCCACUUCGCUGAUCCUCAACACAGGGCCUGACAAGGGAGCGUGCUCAGUCCCCUCCUGCUCUCCCUGUUUAACCAUGACUGCGUGGCCAUGCACACCUCCAACUCAAUCAUCAAGUUUGCAGAUGACACAACAGUAGUUGGCCUGAUUACCAACAAUGAUGAGACUUCAGGGAACAGCAGAGGGAGCACCCCUCUUUCCACAUCGACAGGACCUCAUUGGAGAAUGUGAAAAGCUUCACGUUCCUAAGGCUUACACAUCACUGACAAUCUGAAACGGUCCAAACACACAUAUAGUGUGGUGAAGAAGGCGCAACAGCGCCUGUUCAACCUCAGGAGGCUGAAGAAAUUUGGCUUGGCCUCUAAAACCCUCACAAACAGAUGCACAACCUAUCGAGCUGUAUCACUGCCUGGUAACCGCAGGGCUCUCCAGACGGUGGUGCAGUCUGCCCAACGCAUCACCGGGGGCACACUACCUGCCCUCCAGGACACCUACAGCACCCGAAGUCACAGAAAGGCCAAAAAUAUCAUCAAGGACAUCAACCACCCGAGCCACGGCCUGUUCACCCUGCUAUAAUCCAGAAGGCGAGGUCAGUACAGGUGCAUCAAAGCUGGGACCGAGAGACUGAAAAACUGCUUCUAUCUCAAUGCCAUCAGACUGUUAAAUAGCCAUUACUAGCCUGCUACCACCUGGUUACUGAACCCUGCAACUGAAAGGCUGCUGCCCUACAUACAUAGACAUGGAAUCAUGGAACACUAGUCACUAUAAUAAUGUUUACAUACUGCUUUACUCAUCUCAUAUGUAUAUACUGUAUUCUACUCUACUGUGUUUUAGUCAAUGCCACUCCGACAUUGCUCGUCUUAAUAUUUCUUAAUUCUAUUUUACAUUUAGAUUUAGAUUUGUGCGCAUUGUUGUGAAUUGUUAGAUACUACUGCUCUGUUGGAUACACAAGCAUUUCGCUACACCCGCAAUAACAUCUGCUAAAUAUGUGUAUGUGACCAAUACAUUUUGACUUGAUGAGUACAAUCACUCUUUGACCCUCCCUUCACGUUCUUGCUCCUCAAACAUGUACCCACACACACAAAUAUUAUAUACACCUGCAUGCACAAAUACACCCUCAUCCCUCACACACACAUGUGCAAAGUAACUCAUUAACCAGACAAAUGUAUCAAUAUGAUGGAUAAAUGCAGAAAUCAUUCAGUCUCCACCUCUCUCACUGAUAAUCUUUCACUCACUCACUCACUCAUUCACUCACUCACUCACUCACUCACUCACUCACUCACUCACUCACUCACUCACUCACUCACUAUGUGGCUGACGUUGCCCAACUGCUCAUCCACAUCUAGCAUCCUUUAUCGCCUCAGGCUCCGCAAUCCAGCCCUGUUCUAUUUAUGAGCUCCCUUUUUAGGAGAGAAAGAGAUCAGGAGAGAGAGAAAAAAAAUGAGAGAAAGAGAGAGUGAGAGAGAGAGAAAAUGUGUACCCCUUUGGCUCACCGGGAUCAGGAGUUGAGAAGUAUUUCCUUCUAACAAUGUAAAAAUGUCCAUGCUUUUGACCAUGACCCAUCUAAACAUAUCUGACUGUAUGAAGUAAUCUGAUAUUGUAAACCAUCAAAUAUUUGUGAAAUAUUAAAGC
rnacentral:lncRNA from 1 species